AACAGGAUUAGAUACCCUGGUAGUCCACGCCCUAAACGAUGUCUACUAGUUGUCGGGUCUUAAUUGACUUGGUAACGCAGCUAACGCGUGAAGUAGACCGCCUGGGGAGUACGGUCGCAAGAUUAAAACUCAAAGGAAUUGACGGGGACCCGCACAAGCGGUGGAUGAUGUGGAUUAAUUCGAUGCAACGCGAAAAACCUUACCUACCCUUGACAUGUACAGAAUCCCGAAGAGAUUUGGGAGUGUUCGAAAGAAAACUGUAACACAGGUGCUGCAUGGCUGUCGUCAGCUCGUGUCGUGAGAUGUUGGGUUAAGUCCCGCAACGAGCGCAACCCUUGUCAUUAGUUGCUACGAAAGGGCACUCUAAUGAGACUGCCGGUGACAAACCGGAGGAAGGUGGGGAUGACGUCAAGUCCUCAUGGCCCUUAUGGGUAGGGCUUCACACGUCAUACAAUGGUACAUACAGAGGGCCGCCAACCCGCGAGGGGGAGCUAAUCCCAGAAAGUGUAUCGUAGUCCGGAUUGUAGUCUGCAACUCGACUACAUGAAGUUGGAAUCGCUAGUAAUCGCGGAUCAGCAUGUCGCGGUGAAUACGUUCCCGGGUCUUGUACACACCGCCCGUCACACCAUGGGAGCGGGUUCUACCAGAAGUAGGUAGCCUAACCGUAAGGAGGGCGCUUACCACGGUAGGAUUCGUGACUGGGGUGAAGUCGUAACAAGGUAGCCGUA
rnacentral:rRNA from 1 species